GCAGGCGAAUGAGACGGAUGCGUUUAUUUACUUUUAAGGAAUAAAAUCUUGGGGGAACUCCAGGAGAGCAAGGUUGCUAGAUUUUUCUGGACCUCCACCCUGAAUGACGUGACUAACGGAUGAGAUCACGACGCACAGUUUAAGGAGCUUGGGGCCCGGAGCACUGACUGGCCGGCCCUGCUCCCCUGGUUCCUGUGAGUGUGUGCGCGCAUGUGCAUUCCCAGAGGCUGCUCUUUAAACGCGAGUCUUUUCCCUCUCGGACCUGUUCGCCAUUGACCGAGACGAAGGACGGGCGCUGCAGGUAAUUCGGGACAUCGGGAAUUAGGAAGCGCGCGGGUCCCGGGGAAUCGGUGUGCGCAGCCGGAAGCCGCACGGCCCGAGCCGCGGCCCGGGCUCUGGCCUGGGUGCACCGGGAAGUGGGGAGGAGAAAGUGAAAGAAAUGGAGGCGCUGUCGGAGCGGGAGGCCUUGGGGCGCCGUGUGCGCGGCUCUCUGCUCGCUACCCGGCCCAUCAUCAGCCCUAACUCCUGCAGGUGGGCCAGCAGGGACUGCAGGCCCGGAGGCCUUGUUCCUGCCCUGGGGUCCCGGGCCCCCUUGCGGGAGAGCGUGGCUCAGCGGCAGCCCCGAGGCCCGGGAUGGCUGUGUGCGCCCCUCAGCCCCGCGGUUCCCUGGCUGCCGCCUCAGGCCCGGUAGCGUCUCCCCUGCCUAGGCCCAUCGGCACCCCGUGAUGCUGUUCCUCAAGGCCCGGGCGCCCCUCCUGGCCCAAAGGCGGCCCUGCAGCUUCCGCCGGAGGAGCCUGUGGCCCCUCUAGGGCUGGGUUUAAAGGAGGAGGAGGAGGAGGUGGAUGCUGUGGCCGUGGGGGGCAGGAAGAAACCACUGUGGUUGGGGGCCCCGCCUCUCCCUGAGACCUCAAGCCCCGGUUGCUCCUGUCCUUCUGGCCUGCAGCGCCCCCUAGGAUUCAUGGCCCUGGAGGUCCCAGAGCCUCUGGGGGGAGAACUAGAAAAAAAAAAGUACACCGGAAAUGCUCAAGCGCCGCAUCCCAUUGGCGCCGGGGUGAGGGCAGCUGGGAAGGUCCCGGCCUCCUGUCGUGGGCUGCCCAUGACAAAUGUGGGGACCUGGGCAGCAAGGGGAACCGUGAGGCCCGGCCUGCUGCGCCUCCCCCAUUCCUUAAGUCCGGGUGAUCGCAGGCAGCCCCUUGGGCACGGCUUUGUCCGUUUCCCGCGGCCUGAGGACCGCGUGUGCACCACGAGGGAAAUGACGCGGCGGGAGGGCCCAGAACCUCGAUGCUGCCUGCAAGAAGCGGGAGACGACAGACCCGGGCCCGGAAAACCGCACUCGGAGCCCCGCGAGCUCUCCCCCGGCCCCAGGCCGAGUAAAUGGGCGGCAAAAAUGACAUCAGCCUUUGGGAGAGCUCGCAAGUCCGCCAGGGAAGAAGGGCGCGAAGGAGCGUGGGCCCAGGUCUGUCUAAAAUUUUGCGUAUUUGGGCUUUGGGCCACUGACUUUGACUUGAAUCUGCCAGGAAAGGGAGGGGGCCGAGGAGAAGGGAGUUGGAGAGCAGCCUCGAUCCAGGAGCCAAGCAGUGAACUUCAUCAAUUCCUCGGUUUUGCUGAAAUGAGAGACUUGAACUGCUAUCAGGUCAAUUUUAACUGUAUUUCAUUCUUGAAUAGUUUCAGAGCCUCCUAGGUUGGUAGAAGACUUUUAAAUUCCCUCAUGAAGACUGCAUUGUGGGCUGUUCCUAUUAUUCUGAAAGAAAACGGUGGGAUGUUUACUAGGGUCUCUAUUACUUUGUCAAAGGCAUGGCAAGACUGGUUAAGCUGGGUAUCGAACCACAUCAGGGGUAUCGUUGUGGCCAUAAUAUUUCUGGGUAUCAUGCUUUAAAGAGAACCAGAAAAGGUCUCUGGGGGGGAUUUUAGCCCAGAAAAGAGAAAAUGGGUGUUUGUGAGGCCGGGGGGGGGGGGGGGGGGGAACGGGGGAAGACUUAAUAACUGUCCUCAGGUAUUUGCAGAAUUGUUAUGUGGAAGAGAGGGUAGACAUUAUACAUUGCUUCAAAGAAAAGUCCUGGAAUCAAUGGAAAGAAAUUACAGGGAGGAAAAUGUUGACCCAUUGUGAGGAGAAAUCCCCUAACAAUUGCUCUGAAGCGCUUCCGGAUGCCUGGUUAGGGAGUUUGCUCUUAGACACUGAAGUGAUGUUACAGUCUGUUCGAGCCAUGUGUAAGGACAUUUUUUCCUCAUUAGAGUCUCGCUGGCCUGUUUCUCAGCACCUGCUAAGAGAAAAAGAUAGUAUCUGUUACAUUCCAAACUCUAGGGCAGAUCUGUGGGUCAUUGGGGAAACUGCUUAUUUUGAAGAAACAGGUAGAUUUUUAACCAAGGAGAUAAAAUCAAUUUCAGAAAUCCCCUAUUAUUCUAUUAGUGUCAUCUUUAAAAAUAAUAUAUUGGGUUUUUUCCCCAAAUGGGUACAGAGGGGGGAGGAAAUAACAAAGGAAAUAGAUUUUUGUUAACAGAAAAAAAUAAAAUAUAUUCCAGUGGAAACUUAGUAGAGUAUUAUUAGUCCUCCCCUUACCCCAAUUCUAAAGAGCUAAAAGAUAAUGAGAGAUAUCAAGGAUACCUAAGUAGGCAGGAUCCUCACGCUAGAUGACCAUCUGUUGAAUACACUAUCAUGGGUUAUUACUACACUAGGAUGGAAGAUGGACCAGAAGAUAACAUUACAUUUCUUUAAUAAGCUAAG
rnacentral:lncRNA from 1 species